rfam:Schistosoma rodhaini strain Burundi genome assembly, scaffold: SROB_scaffold0002899
GCAUUGCAGAGGAGUCUCAUAAUAGGACGAAACGAUCGUCCAGUGC